rnacentral:rRNA from 1 species
AUUGAACGCUGGCGGCAGGCCUAACACAUGCAAGUCGAGCGGAUGAGGGGUGCUUGCACCCUGAUUCAGCGGCGGACGGGUGAGUAAUGCCUAGGAAUCUGCCCGAUAGUGGGGGACAACGUUUCGAAAGGAACGCUAAUACCGCAUUCGUCCUACGGGAGAAAGCAGGGGACCUUCGGGCCUUGCGCUAUCGGAUGAGCCUAGGUCGGAUUAGCUAGUUGGUGAGGUAAUGGCUCACCAAGGCGACGAUCCGUAACUGGUCUGAGAGGAUGAUCAGUCACACUGGAACUGAGACACGGUCCAGACUCCUACGGGAGGCAGCAGUGGGGAAUAUUGGACAAGGGGCGAAAGCCUGAUCCAGCCAUGCCGCGUGUGUGAAGAAGGUCUUCGGAUUGUAAAGCACUUUAAGUUGGGAGGAAGGGCUGUAAGCUAAUAUCUUGCAGUGUUGACGUUACCAACAGAAUAAGCACCGGCUAACUUCGUGCCAGCCGCCGCGGUAACAC